rnacentral:rRNA from 1 species
AUUGAACGCUGGCGGCAGGCCUAACACAUGCAAGUCGAGCGAGUGGCGGACGGGUGAGUAAUGUAUGGGGAACUGCCCGAUAGAGGGGGAUAACUACUGGAAACGGUGGCUAAUACCGCAUACUAUCGGAUGUACCCAUAUGGGAUUAGCUAGUAGGUGGGGUAAAGGCUCACCUAGGCGACGAUCCCUAGCUGGUCUGAGAGGAUGAUCAGCCACACUGGAACGGAGACACGGCCCAGACUCCGACGGGAGGCAGCAGUGGGGAAUAUUGCACAAUGGGCGCAAGCCUGAUGCAGCCAUGCCGCGUGUAUGAAGAAGGCCUUAGGGUUGUAAAGUACUUUCAGCGGGGAGGCGUUACCCGCAGAAGAAGCACCGGCUAACUCCGUGCCAGCAGCCGCGGUAAUAC